GCCGGCUUGGCGGAAUUGGCAGACGCGUUGGAUUCAAAAUCCAAUUCCCGCAAGGGAGUGGAGGUUCAAGUCCUCUAGCCGGUA
rnacentral:tRNA from 1 species